rnacentral:rRNA from 1 species
UACGAAGGGGGCUAGCGUUGCUCGGAAUCACUGGGCGUAAAGCGCGCGUAGGCGGCUUUGUAAGUCAGAGGUGAAAGCCUGGAGCUCAACUCCAGAACUGCCUUUGAGACUGCAUCGCUAGAAUCAUGGAGAGGUUAGUGGAAUUCCGAGUGUAGAGGUGAAAUUCGUAGAUAUUCGGAAGAACACCAGUGGCGAAGGCGACUAACUGGACAUGUAUUGACGCUGAGGUGCGAAAGCGUGGGGAGCAAACAGGG